rnacentral:lncRNA from 1 species
UUUGGGUUGUUCAGAUGAUUCUUUUGAUCCUUUUUUUUCAGAUCUACAAAUUAUCAAUUCUUUUAAUCCGUUUUUCGUUUGUCAUGACAUUGAAUCCCUUUUGCAAUUCGUUUAUUUUCAGAUCUACAAACUUAACCAUUUUUUUCGAUCCCUUGUAGAUCUUCAAUAUUUUUUUUUUUUUCAAUUUUCUCGUGAAGCUUCCCAUGAUCCGCUGGCAGGCCUCGUUUGAUUUGAUGCCCCAUCCCACAAUCCGCUGGUAGGCCUCGUUUGAUUUGAUGGCCCAGCCCACAAACAGGGCAUCAUUUGAUGUCCCAGCCCACACCCAAUGGCCCUGAGCAAGCAACCACGAUCAAAGAUUGACCUAGUUCACCUGCCUCUAUAUAAAAAAGUAGUUACACAGUUCAGCUCUCACUUUUAUAAUCGGACAUUAACUAAUUCAAUAUGUUUCGUUUGUCAACCAUCACUCUUUAGCGAGUUGUUUCCAGGUUUCUCUUCCCCUCCACCUUUUUAGGGUUUCUCUUCCCCUCCACCACGCUAGGGUUGCUCUUCCCCUCCACCUCUCUAGGGUUUUUCCUCUUCACCUUUGGAAAACAACUCGCUGAAGAGUGAUGUUUGACAAACGAAACAUAUUGAAUUAGUUAAUGUCCGAUUAUAAAAGUGAGAGUUGAACAAUGUAACUACCUUUUUUAUAUAGGUCAAUCUCUCUAGGGUUUCUCUUCCCCUCCACCACGCUAGGGUUGCUCUUCCCCUCCACCUCUCUAGGGUUUUUCCUCUUCACGUCUCUAGGGGUUUUCCUCUUCACAUCUCCAGAUGCCCAUUUUCACCUCUCUCUUUCUCACAUCUCUCUCCAUUUCCCCUUUCACCCUUUACACUCCGGUCAAGCUUUCCUCUCUCUCCUCUCUCACCGGCCUUUUCACGCAGCACUCCUCAGGUUUGUUGUUAUAUCUGAUUCAACACAUUUUAUUUAUAUAUCAUUUAGUAAAAAACCCUUCUUUUAUUUUUCAGCGGUCACGCUUUCCUCUCUCCCCUCUCUCACCGGCCCUUUCACGCAGCUCUCCUCAGGUUUGUUGCCAUAUCUGAUUCAACACAUUUUGUUUAUAUAUCAUUUAGUAAAAAACCCUUCUUUUAUUUUUUAGGGAACCGGUGGCGGCGCCGGUGGCACCACCGGCGGUGGCGGUGAUGCAGUCGUUGGCGGUGGUGGUGGUGGCGGCGCCGGCGGUGGUGGUGGUGGCGGCGCCGGCGGUGGUUGUGGCAGCUGCAACUGCAUUGGUGUGUGUCAGUAUAAACCCUCCUUAAUUCCAAGACUCGACUUUGGUUUCAACGUCGCCUUCAACAUCAUCCACCGUUUCGGUUUGUGGUCGGUAGCUUUGGCUUUCUUGUCUGAGCUUGUGACUGAGAAGAAUGUUAAGCAUUUUGCAGAGAGUAUGAUAAGGAUCUGCGAUCCGAGCUUAGUAUAAUAGGGUUUCAGUUUUAAUAUAUCUUUAUCUUCCACUUUGAUCAAUCUGUCUAGGUUUAAGUUGUAAUAACUUGUCUUCUUCCACUUUGAUGAAUCUGUCUAGUUUUAAUAUCUUGUAUCUAGACUUUUGGUUUUCUCCCAUGUUGCAAAGUUCGUUCUUUUAUGGAACUUUUAUAUAAUGGAAAGAGC